rnacentral:rRNA from 1 species
UACAGAGGUCUCAAGCGUUGUUCGGAUUCAUUGGGCGUAAAGGGUGCGUAGGUGGCGGGGUAAGUCAGGUGUGAAAUUUCGGAGCUCAACUCCGAAACUGCAUUUGAUACUGCCUUGCUUGAGGACUGGAGAGGAGACUGGAAUUCACGGUGUAGCAGUGAAAUGCGUAGAGAUCGUGAGGAAGACCAGUGGCGAAGGCGGGUCUCUGGACAGUUCCUGACACUGAGGCACGAAGGCCAGGGGAGCAAACGGG